AAGUUUUAAACAUAUUUUGUCAAUGUUGUUGAAAGAAAUUACGUUUUAGUAUCUAAUAAGUUAACUAUAAGAUUAACAAAAAUAACAAACACAAUUUAGUAGAAGUUCCAGUCUUGUUUGGGCUUUUUUUGCGCAUAUGGACGAUUUCGGGAAAAAUACCAUAUCUCUUUUUUUUUUCUUUUUUAACAUUGUUAAUUUUAG
rnacentral:lncRNA from 1 species